rnacentral:piRNA from 1 species
UCGUAAUUAUUGAUCUUCGCCAUGUAAU